GUCCACGCCCUAACGAUGUCUACUAGUUGUUGGGUAGCAAUACCUCAGUGACGCAGCUAACGCGUGAAGUAGACCGCCUGGGAGUACGGUCGCAAGAUUAAACUCAAGGAAUUGACGGGCCCGCACAAGCGGUGGAUUAUGUGGAUUAAUUCGAUGCAACGCGAAACCUUACCUGGCCUUGACAUGCCACUAACGAAGCAGAGAUGCAUUAGGUGCCCGAAAGGGAAGUGGACACAGGUGCUGCAUGGCUGUCGU
rnacentral:rRNA from 1 species